UACAGAGGAGGCAAGCGUUGUUCGGAAUCACUGGGCUUAAAGCGCGUGUAGGCGGCCUGACAAGUACCUUGUGAAAUCCCUCGGCUCAACCGAGGAACGGCUGGGUAUACUGUCGGGCUUGAAGCAAGUAGGGGUGCCUGGAACUCUCGGUGGAGCGGUGAAAUGCGUAGAUAUCGAGAGGAACGCCCGUGGCGAAAGCGGGGCACUGGGCUUGUCUUGACGCUAAGACGCGAAAGCGUGGGGAGCAAACGGG
rnacentral:rRNA from 1 species